ensembl:lncRNA
CCUUGCAUGGCAGUUGUUGGUGUUGGUGUGAGUGUGUGUGAAUGAGACGCAGUGUAAAGCGCUUUGGAUAAAAGCGCUAUAUAAGUGCGCCAUUUACCGUUUACUAGUGCUAUUCGUGUUAAUUUGACCGUCAUAACUUUUAGAGAUAAAACACAGAAGCGCACAGGAUUUAAAGUGUGGGCUAAAUGUAAGCUGAACUUUUUUUGUCUUUACGCUGAGUGUGAUUCAAGACACAUUUGGAGAUUUGUUCAAAAAUUUCUUGCUAAUUUUCUCAGCGAUGUGACCUAAUUUCUCUGAGAUAUACCAUGAGUGUUUUCCCAUAUGUGUAACUUUUUUCACAUAAACUGAUUUUUUUAAACGAUCAGUUUAGGAGUGUGCAAUUUGGUAACCUUCAUAGGCUUCAUGUUCUGACGAAAAAUUCAGACAUUUGAGUUAAUUGCCACUAGGUGGCACCAUUAUGAAAUGUAAAACUCAUUUCAGAGUGGACGUUGCAUGCUGGGUGCGGUGGCGCGCGCCUGUAAUCCACGUCACUGGGAGGCUGAGGCUGGUGGAGCUCUUGAGCUCGGGGGUUCUACACUACCGUGGGCUUUGUUGAUCGGGUGUCCGCACUAAGAUCGGUGUCGAUAUGGUGUUCCUAAGGGAGCUCGGGAAUACCAGGUCGUCUAAGGAGGGGUGGACCGGCCCAGGUCGGGAACGGAGCAGGUAAAAGCCCCCGUACCGAUUAGUAGUGGGAUAGCACCUGUGAAUAGACGCGGUAGUGCAGCCUGGGUGAUACGGUGUGACCCAGUCUUUUAUAUUAUACACCUAUUGUGUUUAAUAUCCACUGCUUCUACGUCCUCAGAAGCAGCUGGAGAAGGACAGAUCAAGUUCGAAUCACAGUAAAAUGGUUAAAGUUAGACUACUAUUUAUAAUUCUUUCUCACAGUAAGCAAUGAAGUUAUUUUAAAAAACAUUAAUGCAUUAAUCUCUAAUAUUAUAUGGACACAGUGUACACUGUAAAACAUCUCUACAAAUCAGUAAUGCUCCCAGUCUACCUUAUUCCCCUGAUUCUUAAGUUGUUUCAUAAACACACCAUUUUAUG